AGAGUUUGAUCCUGGCUCAGGAUGAGCGCUGGCGGCGUGCUUAACACAUUCAAGUCGAACGAAGAAGAUCGGAGCUUGCUCUGAUCGGAUUAGUGGCGGACGGGUGAGUAACGCGUGAGUAACCUGCCUGCGAGAGGGGGAUAACAACGGGAAACUGUUGCUAAUACCGCAUAACGCAUCGAUUCCGCAUGGAGAUGAUGCCAAAGGGAAACCGCUUGCAGAUGGACUCGCGUCUGAUUAGGUAGUUGGUGAGGUAACGGCUCACCAAGCCGACGAUCAGUAGCCGGACUGAGAGGUUGAACGGCCACAUUGGAACUGAGAUACGGUCCAGACUCCUACGGGAGGCAGCAGUGGGGAAUAUUGGGCUAUGGGCGAAAGCCUGACCCAGCGACGCCGCGUGAAGGAAGAAGGCCUUCGGGUUGUAAACUUUAGUAAGCAGGGAAGAAGAAAGUGACGGUACCUGCAGAGUAAGCCACGGCUAACUACGUGCCAGCAGCCGCGGUAAUACGUAGGUGGCGAGCGUUAUCCGGAAUUACUGGGUGUAAAGGGUGUGUAGGCGGGACUUCAAGUCAGAUGUGAAAAUUGCGGGCUCAACCCGCAACCUGCAUUUGAAACUGAGGUUCUUGAGAGUCGGAGAGGUAAAUGGAAUUCCCGGUGUAGCGGUGAAAUGCGUAGAUAUCGGGAGGAACACCAGUGGCGAAGGCGAUUUACUGGACGACAACUGACGCUGAGACACGAAAGCGCGGGGAGCAAACAGGAUCAGAUACCCUGGUAGUCCACGCAGUAAACGAUGAAUACUAACUGUUCGGAGGGCGACCUCUGAGUGGUAAAGCGAAAGCGUUAAGUAUUCCACCUGGGGAGUACGCCGGCAACGGUGAAACUCAAAGGAAUUGACGGGGGCCCGCACAAGCGGAGGAACAUGUGGUUUAAUUCGAUGAUACGCGAGGAACCUUACCCGGGCUCAAACGUCGGGCGAAUCAUCCUGAAAGGGGUGAGCCAGCAAUGGCGGCCGACGAGGUGCUGCAUGGUUGUCGUCAGCUCGUGCCGUGAGGUGUCGGCUUAAGUGCCAUAACGAGCGCAACCCCCGCGUCCAGUUGCCAGCGAUUGAAGUCGGGCACUCUGGACGGACUGCCGGCGCAAGCCGCGAGGAAGGCGGGGAUGACGUCAAAUCAGCACGGCCCUUACGUCCGGGGCGACACACGUGUUACAAUGGCGUGGAACAGAGGGAAGCCACCUGGCGACAGGGAGCGGAACCCGAAAACACGUCUCAGUUCGGAUUGGAGUCUGCAACUCGACUCCAUGAAGCUGGAUUCGCUAGUAAUCGCGCAUCAGCCAUGGCGCGGUGAAUACGUUCCCGGGCCUUGUACACACCGCCCGUCAAGCCAUGGGAGCCGGGAGUGCCUGAAGGCCGUAACCGCAAGGAGCGGUCAAGGGUAAGACUGGUGACUGGGGCUAAGUCGUAACAAGGUA
rnacentral:rRNA from 1 species